GACGAACGCUGGCGGCGUGCUUAACACAUGCAAGUCGAACGAAGUGGCGAACGGGUGAGUAACGCGUCAUCAACCUGCCCUUCAGCGGGGGACAACAGUUGGAAACGACUGCUAAUACCGCAUACUGAAGGAGUGGAUUGCGUCUGCUUAGCUAGUUGGAGGGGUAACGGCCCACCACGGCGAUGAUCAGUAGCCGGUCCGGGAGGAGGAACGGCCAAAUUGGGACUGAGACACGGCCCAGACUCCUACGGGAGGCAGCAGUGGGGAAUCUUCCGCAAGGGACGAAAGUCUGACGGAGCAACGCCGCGGGAGUGAUGACGGCCUUCGGGUUGUAAAGCUCUGUUAAUCGGGACGCGGUACCGGAAGAGAAAGCCACGGCUAACUACGUGCCAGCAGCCGCGGUAAUAC
rnacentral:rRNA from 1 species